rfam:Oryza nivara chromosome 5, whole genome shotgun sequence.
AAAAAAAACAAUCCCUGGUUUCCGUGUCCAACGUUUGACCGUCUGUCUUAUUUAAAAAAAAUAUAAAAAAAAUUAAAAAGAUAAGUCACGCAUAAAAUAUUAAUCAUUUUUUAUUAUUUAACAACAAUGAAAAUACUAAUUAUAAAAAAAUUUCAUAUAAGACGGACAGUCAAACAUUGGCACGGAAAUCUAGGUUUUGACUUUUU